AGAGAAUAGAUACCCUGGUAGUCCCAGCCGUAAACGAUGCUCGCUAGGUGUCAGGCAUGGCGCGACCGUGUCUGGUGCCGCAGGGAAGCCGUGAAGCGAGCCACCUGGGAAGUACGGCCGCAAGGCUGAAACUUAAAGGAAUUGGCGGGGAGCACAACAACGGGUGGAGCCUGCGGUUUAAUUGGACUCAACGCCGGACAACUCACCGGGGGCGACAGCAAUAUGUAGGCCAAGCUGAAGACUUUGCCUGAAUCGCUGAGAGGAGGUGCAUGGCCGUCGCCAGUUCGUACUGUGAAGCAUCCUGUUAAGUCAGGCAACGAGCGAGACCCGUGCCCACUGUUACCAGCAUGUCCUCCGGGACGAUGGGUACUCUGUGGGGACCGCCUAUGUUAAAUAGGAGGAAGGUGCGGGCCACGGUAGGUCAGUAUGCCCCGAAUCUCCGGGCUACACGCGGGCUACAAUGGAUGGGACAAUGGGUCCCUACUCCGAAAGGAGCUGGUAAUCUCACAAACCCAUUCGUAGUUCGGAUCGAGGG
rnacentral:rRNA from 1 species